GAGCGUAAACUCCUUUUAUCAGGAAAGAAUAAUGACGGUACCUGAUGAAUAAGCACCGGCUAACUCCGUGCCAGCAGCCGCGGUAAUACGGGGGGUGCAAGCGUUACUCGGAAUCACUGGGCGUAAAGGACGCGUAGGCGGAUUAUCAAGUCUUUUGUGAAAUCUAGUGGCUUAACCACUAAACUGCUUAGGAAACUGAUAGUCUAGAGUAGGGGAGAGGUAGAUGGAAUUCUUGGUGUAGGGGUAAAAUCCGUAGAGAUCAAGAAGAAUACCCAUUGCGAAAGCGAUCUGCUGGAACCUAACUGACGCUGAGGCGUGAAAGCGUGGGUAGCAAACAGGAUUAGAUACCCUGGUAGUCCACGCCCUAAACGAUGUAUACUAGUUGUUGCUUUGCUAGUCAAGGCAGUAAUGCAGCUAACGCAUUAAGUAUACCGCCUGGGGAGUACGGUCGCAAGAUUAAAACUCAAAGGAAUAGACGGGGACCCGCACAAGCGGUGGAGCAUGUGGUUUAAUUCGAAGAUACGCGAAGAACCUUACCUGGACUUGACAUCCUAAAAACAUCUAAGAGAUUAGAAAGUGCUAGUUUACUAGAAUUUAGUGACAGGUGCUGCACGGCUGUCGUCA
rnacentral:rRNA from 1 species